AAAUGAAAUCAUAUCUAUAUCAUCAUAGAGACUGAUAUAGAUCCAAAUAUUGAUCUUUGUUAUAUUCAGAGGAAGCCCAAAUUAUUAUAACAAGUGCACUUGGAGAAGCGUGAAUUAGACACCAGGGGCUAUCUGCUAACUAGACAUAUAUGGUGUGUUAAGUGUCAUUUUAAGCAUCAAGCAUUUCCUGAGUCCAAGUUAGCCAAUUUUAAUAUAGG